UGGGGUCGGAGGGCAGAAGUCAGGGCCAGUUCUGCCCACAGUGGGGUUGUAUUACAAACCCACCCCCUCACCCUAAACUGAAAACCUAAAGGGCUAUGCUGUUGGUGUGGGAAUGGGUCAGAAUUUAACCUGCCCCCCAUCCUGCUACGAACCCCAGGGAACUGGCCAAGAGUGACCCAAAGUUGAAUGACCACAGUUCCUCAGACAUUAGAGCACCCUACUCUACACCCAAGGUGGAGCUCCCCUGGCUCAAGCUGUGAAUUUGGGUUGAGGGAGGUCCCCACUGAGCUCCUCCCUAGGAAAGCUCCCCUUCACGCGAGCCCUCCAAGUGUUUGAAAGCCAGUGAUCAGAACAGUCAACGGCCAACAGGCAGAAACAAGGAGAAUCGGGGAGGGCUUUGCAAGACACCAUGCAGGAGAGGCUGCUGGGCACCUGGCCCUAAGAAUCUUCCGUGCAGCCUGCUGGCAGUGGGGAGCCAUGUUAUCGAAGGCAGAGCCUACUGAUCUGUGAUGUUCACCAUCUCCUAAUCCCUGCAUUCAAUGCCUAAACUUCUCUCUGAGCACGGCUUCACCCCACAAACUUCGGACCAAGUGGGAGACCGACAGUCUUGGUUAGCCCUCGUGACAGUUCCACAUGACGUGUACAACUCUCCUGUCUGUCACAGGAAGAAACUAAGGCUCAGAGGGCUCGUGAACUUGGGCAAGUCCAUACAGCAGGCCAAGUGUCAGAACUGAGCCAACCCCAGCUCUGUCUGAUUCCAAAAAUCUGACCCUUUCACCCCAACAUCAUUCUUGGCCGGUUUUUCAAAGAAGGUUCACAUUCAGGAAUAAA